rnacentral:rRNA from 1 species
GUGCCAGCAGCCGCGGUAAUACGAGAGGUGCAAGCGUUAUUCGGAAUUAUUGGGCGUAAAGGGUGCGUAGGCGGCAUGUUAAGUCAACUGUUAAAUUCUCCGGCCUAACUGGAGACAUGCGGUAGAUACUGGCAAGCUAGAGGAUGAAAGAGAGAAGUGGAAUUCUCGGAGUAGCGGUAAAAUGCGUAGAUCUCGAGAGGAACACCAAUGGCGAAGGCAGCUUCUUGGUUCAUUUCUGACGCUGAUGCACGAAAGCGUGGGGAGCAAACAGGAUUAGAUACCCUGGUAGUCC